rnacentral:tRNA from 2 species
CGGGACGUGGCGCAGCCUGGUUUAGCGCGCCUGCUUGGGGUGCAGGAGGUCGCGGGUUCGAAUCCCGCCGUCCCGACCA